UAUUAGCCCCGAUUGCAACGGAAAUCCUUUUCUUUUUUUUCUUUAAAAAAAGAAAAGAUUGUAGUGAAAAGCGGGAUUAGCU
rnacentral:sRNA from 1 species